rnacentral:lncRNA from 1 species
GUCGCCAUGAUUGGUUCUUCACCCCGAACCAGUUCCUUAUCGGAGGGCAGUCCGGGUCCCAGUGCCAGCAGUCCUGCGUAGAAUCUAUAGUUAUCUAGCCUGGAGCUUCAGAGGAAGCGUUCUGCUGAAGAGACAGAUACCUCAGCCCCUGAGUGAAAAUCUCAGAUGAUAUGACUUUGCCUCUAAGACCCUUAGGCCUUCGGAAACAAACAGGAAUCAGUCCCAGAAGCAGAUCCAUUUGGCCUUAGACCUUUGGCAGAAACUUCAAGAGGGAGCUGGUCCUUGAGUGGUUGAUGAAUUUACAACCAUCUUGCCUGGCUAAAGAGGACUGGAGUGACUUAAGAAUAUCUAGAAUAGGAAGUGUGACUUUCAAGGAUCUGACCCAAAUGCUUGGGGAGAAAGUUCUGUCUUCUCAGAAAUAUGCAUUUAUCCAAGAGGGAAACAUUGAGGAGCAAAGAAAGGCCUCUGAAUUCCUUACAGCCAGGUUCCAGGUGAGUUGAGAAUUGUUGGUUUCGGUCUUUUCCCCUUCCAACUCUGACUCUCUCUGCCCUCAAAUG